rnacentral:rRNA from 1 species
UCGGGAGGGGAUUAGUGGCGAACGGGUGAGUAACACGUGGGCAACCUGCCCCGCACACUGGGAUAAGCCCUGGAAACGGGGUCUAAUACCGGAUAUGACUCAAGGUCGCAUGGUCUUGGGUGGAAAGCUCCGGCGGUGCGGGAUGGGCCCGCGGCCUAUCAGCUUGUUGGUGAGGUAACGGCUCACCAAGGCGACGACGGGUAGCCGGCCUGAGAGGGCGACCGGCCACACUGGGACUGAGACACGGCCCAGACUCCUACGGGAGGCAGCAGUGGGGAAUAUUGCACAAUGGGCGCAAGCCUGAUGCAGCGACGCCGCGUGAGGGAUGAAGGCCUUCGGGUUGUAAACCUCUUUCAGCAGGGAAGAAGCUCUUGAGUGACGGUACCUGCAGAAGAAGCGCCGGCUAACUACGUGCCAGCAGCCGCGGUAAUACGUAGGGCGCGAGCGUUGUCCGGAAUUAUUGGGCGUAAAGAGCUCGUAGGCGGCUUGUCGCGUCGGUUGUGAAAGCCCGGGGCUUAACUCCGGGUCUGCAGUCGAUACGGGCAGGCUAGAGUUCGGUAGGGGAGAUCGGAAUUCCUGGUGUAGCGGUGAAAUGCGCAGAUAUCAGGAGGAACACCGGUGGCGAAGGCGGAUCUCUGGGCCGAUACUGACGCUGAGGAGCGAAAGCGUGGGGAGCGAACAGGAUUAGAUACCCUGGUAGUCCACGCCGUAAACGGUGGGCACUAGGUGUGGGCGGCAUUCCACGUCGUCCGUGCCGUAGCUAACGCAUUAAGUGCCCCGCCUGGGGGAGUACGGCCGCAAGGCUAAAACUCAAAAGGAAUUGACGGGGGGCCCGCACAAACCGGCGGAACCUUGUGGCUUUAAUUUCGACGCCAACGCCG